CCUACGGGAGGCAGCAGUGGGGAAUAUUGCACAAUGGGGGAAACCCUGAUGCAGCGACGCCGCGUGAGUGAAGAAGUAUUUCGGUAUUUAAAGCUCUAUCCGCAGGGGAGCAAAUGACGGUACCUGAUUAAGACGCCCCGUAUAACUACGUGACAGACGCCGCGGUAAUACGGAGGGGGCAAGCGUUAUCCGGAUUUCAUGGGUGUAAAGGGAGGGUAGACGGCAGGACAAGUCUGGAGGUAAAUGUCGGGGCUUAACCCUGAAAGUGCUGUGGAAACUGGGCAGCUAGAGUGCAGGAGAGGUAAGCGGAAUGCCUGGUGUAGCGGUGAAAUGCGUAGAUAUUAGGAGGAACACCAGUGGCGAAGGCGGCUUACUGGACUUUAACUGACGUUGAUGCUCGAAAGCGUGGGGAGCAAACAGGAUUAGAUACCCUAGUAGUC
rnacentral:rRNA from 1 species